rnacentral:siRNA from 1 species
UAGUUGAUCAGGUUUACCGGUGA